UGUUGAUCGGGUUUUGAAGGAGUUGAAUAGCAAUCACUUGGGUCAUGCAGGUCCAUCUAACCUUGUGAGGGCUAAUAAGAAAGUACAUUGUCAUCAUCCUCUUCUUUAUCCUUUUAUUCUGUUCCUUUUUUUUUUUAAAUAAGAGAGCACAGUUUGAUAAUGGAUGAGACAUUGAGGAGGCAGGCCCCAUCUAACCAUUCAGUUUGAAUAUGAUCAUGAUGCCGAAGGUCUCCAACGAAUUGAAGCGGAGAGAGUAACAAAACAAUAUGUCACUUCAUGGAUGGGAAAUGAAAUGAAGAGAGAUUCUCACCAUUCAACAAAUGAGAAAAUGUGUUGGGACUGCAAAGUAAGAGAGCACAACUUGGUGUGGAUGAAGAGGCAGAUGGUCCACUUCAGCUCUAUUAAUCUAGUUUACUUUUUUAUAAUUAGUAAAUGUGUUGGAAUUGUGUGGCUUAACAUACUUUUAUUUGUGU